rnacentral:tRNA from 1 species
ACCAGGGUGGUCUAACCGGUAGGACACGUGGCUCUGAACCACGGGAUGGGGGUUCAAGUCCUUCCCCUGGUGCCA